rnacentral:rRNA from 1 species
UACGGGGGGAGCAAGCGUUGUUCGGAUUUACUGAGCGUAAAGGGCGCGUAGGCGGCGUGACAAGUCACUUGUGAAAUCUCCGGGCUUAACUCGGAACGGUCAAGUGAUACUGUCGUGCUAGAGUACAGAAGGGGCAACUGGAAUUCUCGGUGUAGCGGUGAAAUGCGUAGAGAUCGGGAGGAACACCGGUGGCGAAGGCGGGUCUCUGGGCAUCUCCUGACGCUGAGGCGCGAAAGCGUGGGGAGCAAACGGG